GUGCCAGCCGCCGCGGUAAUACAGAGGGUGCGAGCGUUAAUCGGAAUUACUGGGCGUAAAGCGCGCGUAGGCGGCUUUGUAAGUCGGUUGUGAAAUCCCCGGGCUUAACCUGGGAACUGCAUCCGAGACUGCAUAGCUAGAGUAUGGGAGAGGGAAGUGGAAUUUCAGGUGUAGCGGUGAAAUGCGUAGAUAUCUGAAGGAACAUCAGUGGCGAAAGCGACUUCCUGGACCAAUACUGACGCUCAUGUGCGAAAGCGUGGGGAGCAAACAGGAUUAGAUACCCUGGUAGUCCACGCCAUAAACGAUGAGAACUGGAUGUCGGAGGGGUCUGCCCUUCGGUGUCGUAGCUAACGCGUUAAGUUCUCCGCCUGGGGAGUACGGCCGCAAGGUUGAA
rnacentral:rRNA from 1 species